rnacentral:lncRNA from 1 species
AAAAAUGUAACACAGAAGCAGUGGUUGAACGCAGCAGUUACAAGAUUCACACGAAGGGUUGAAGGAAUUCUCGAUAUUCAUCAGGUUAGCCGCUUGAUAAAUUAUUAAUAGUGUUAUUUUUGUAGGCAUGAGGAGGUAAUUGUAGUAAUGAAUAUGGUGUUAAGUAGUGCUGGUGGUGUUAAGCAGUUGUUAAUUGGAAUCGGGUAAUAAAAGAACCAAUUACUUAAGAAUGGGAAAGUGAUAAUGGCCAAUAGAAUUGGCCAAUUACGGGCAAGACUUUGGUAAGCCAUUUAUGGCAGGACUUUAAUAAGCCAUUUAUGGCAGCUUUAAUAAGCCAUUUAGGGCAUUGGAAUGCGAAUAAGUCCAAUUACAGCAUAUGUUGUAGGGAUCCGUACAACGAUUAUGUUUUUCUUAUUAUUUAAUUAUUAUUUUUCUCUUUCCUUUUUUUUUUUUGUAAUUUACUUCAUAUAUUGAAAAGAUUGUGGUUUAGGUCUAGAAUUUUUAGAGUAAGAAUAUAUAAAUUGGGGUUAUUAGAUUCAUAUUUUUAUACGAAUUAUAUUUUUUGAACAGAUUUGGACUUUUCAAAAGCUUUACGAAAGGGCAAGAACUUGGCAAAUUAGCUUGCGUUUGAAUUCUUCGGUUGAGGUAGGUUAUGGUUUAAUUGGAGUUUAGAUUCGACUUAAUUGCGUGUAUACUCCUAAAUUGGAUACUUGUUGAUUGGUAUUUGAACAUGCUUGAAAAUAUUGAUGUUUGAAUUAUUGAUGCGUGUAUAAAUGAUUAUUGAAAAUUUACUUGAUAAAAUUGUCUUAUGACUUUAAGUAUACUUGUAAACUUGAUACAUUGUGUUGUAUGAGGUUGUGUAAAUGUGAUAUUGAUAAUACUUGUUUAUGUUGGAUCGGGUACCACGCCGAUACGGAUAUGUAUAUGUUGGAUUGGGUACCACGCCGGUACGGAUAUGUAUAUGUUGGAUCGGGUACCACGCCGGUACGGAUAUGUAUAUGUUGGAUCGGGUACCACGCCGAUACGGAUAUGUAUAUAUUGGAUCGGGUACCACGCCGGUAUAGAUAUGUGUAUAUGUUGAAUCGGGUACCACGCCGGUACAGUACAUGAACAUAUAUUGUUCCCUGCAGGUCAUGACUAUUUGGGCAAAAAUAAGUCCACUAGCAUGUGUGUACAUAUUGUGUUGAUUCUGUGGAUGUUUAUAGUAUGGUUGAUACUCUUGAUGGUUAUGUAACUUGUUUGUGAGCACUGGUUGACCUGUUAUUGUUGUUGUAUUAUUGAUUAAUUGAAUAUUUGUUAUGUGACGAUGCCUAUCUACUUGUUAUUUGAUUUAUGUUGUGUACAUGCUAUUAAAUUGAGUUGGCCUAUCAUACCUACCAGUACAUAGUGGUUUGUACUGAUACUACCAUGUAUUCUUCUUUUAUUGAGUGCAGAAAGUGUUCUAGAGGCUCAGACAUGACCUACCUCUAGAGUUUGAUAGCAGAUCUUGAUCCAAGGGUGAGCACUCCGUCUCCAGGCUACCAUGGGUUAUCUUAUUUAUUUU